rnacentral:ncRNA from 1 species
UUUGAAUAUAAUUAUAAUUUAUUUUGUUAUAAAAUUUUAUUAUUUUAAAAAAAAUAUAUGAAAUUUUUUGAUUGUUAAUUUUAAUUUCUUAAUGAAUUUUAAUAAUUCUCAGUAUUUAAUAUUAAAUAUUAAAGAAAUUUAGAUUUAAUUAUUAAUUUAAGUAUAGGCUAAAUAUGUGCCAGCAGUUGCGGUUAAACUUAUUAUACUAAUAAAAUUAUUCAGUAAAAUUAGUGUAAAAAAUUAUUUAUAAAUUAAUUUUUUAAUAUGAGGUAAAAUUUAAUUUAAAAUUAUUUUUAUAAUUAUUUUAUUCUAUUAAAUUUUAAUUAAAACUAGGAUUAGAUACCCUAUUAUAAAAACUUAAAUUUAUUUACUAAAAAAUUAAUAGUUAUAUUCUUUAAAUUUAAAAAAUUUGGCGGUAUUUUUGUCUUAUUAGAGGAACCUGUUUUUUAAUUGAUAAUCCACGAUUAAUUUUACUUAUUUUAAAAAUUUAUAUAUCGCUGUCAAGAAUAUAUUAAAAAAUUAAUUUUCUUAAAUUAUUUUAUAAUUUAUGUUAAGUCAAGAUGUAGUUUAUAAAUAAGAAAAUAAUGGGUUACAUUAAAUUUAAUUUAUAGAUUUAAAAUGAAAAUAAUAAUGAAAUUGGAUUUAAUAGUAAAUUUAAUUAUUUAAUUAAUAUGAAUAAAGAUCUAAAAUAUGUACAUAUUGCCCGUCAUUCUUAUUAAAAGUAAGACAAGUCGUAACAAAGUAAAUGUACUGGAAAGUGUAUUUAGAAAGA